rnacentral:rRNA from 1 species
CCUACGGGAGGCAGCAGUGGGGAAUUUUGGACAAUGGGGGCAACCCUGAUCCAGCAAUGCCGCGUGAGUGAAGAAGGCCUUCGGGUUGUAAAGCUCUUUUGUCAGGGAAGAAAAGGCUGUGGCUAAUAUCUAUGGCUCAUGACGGUACCUGAAGAAUAAGCACCGGCUAACUACGUGCCAGCAGCCGCGGUAAUACGUAGGGUGCAAGCGUUAAUCGGAAUUACUGGGCGUAAAGCGUGCGCAGGCGGUUUUGUAAGACUGUCGUGAAAUCCCCGGGCUCAACCUGGGAAUGGCGAUGGUGACUGCAAGGCUAGAGUUUGGCAGAGGGGGGUAGAAUUCCACGUGUAGCAGUGAAAUGCGUAGAUAUGUGGAGGAACACCGAUGGCGAAGGCAGCCCCCUGGGUCAAAACUGACGCUCAUGCACGAAAGCGUGGGGAGCAAACAGGAUUAGAUACCCUGGUAGUCCACGCCCUAAACGAUGUCUACUAGUUGUCGGGUCUUAAUUGACUUGGUAACGCAGCUAACGCGUGAAGUAGACCGCCUGGGGAGUACGGUCGCAAGAUUAAAACUCAAAUGAAAUUGACGG